AGUCCAGACUCCUACGGGAGGCAGCAGUGGGGAAUAUUGCACAAUGGGGGGAACCCUGAUGCAGCGACGCCGCGUGAGUGAAGAAGUAUUUCGGUCUGUAAAUCUCUAUCAGCAGGGAAGAAAAUGACGGUACCUGACUAAGAAGCCCCGGCUAACUACGUGCCAGCAGCCGCGGUAAUACGUAGGGGGCAAGCGUUAUCCGGAUUUACUGGGUGUAAAGGGAGCGUAGACGGCAGAGCAAGUCUGAAGUGAAAGCCCGCGGCCCAACUGCGGGACUGCUUUGGAAACUGCCCGGCUGGAGUGCUGGAGAGGUAAGCGGAAUUCCUAGUGUAGCGGUGAAAUGCGUAGAUAUUAGGAGGAACAUCGGUGGCGAAGGCGGCUUACUGGGCUUUUACUGACGCUGAGGCUCGAAAGCGUGGGGAGCAAACAGGAUUAGAUACCCCCGUAC
rnacentral:rRNA from 1 species